CGCCUGUUUAACAAAAACAUGUCCUUUAGAAUUUAAUUGAAGGUCUGACCUGCCCAGUGAUUAAUUUAACGGCCGCGGUAUACUGACCGUGCAAAGGUAGCAUAAUCAUUAGUCUUUUAAUAGAGGGCUGGAAUGAAAGGUUUAACGAGGAAUUGGCUGUCUCAUCUUAUUUGUUUUAAAAUUUAAUUUUUUAGUUAAAAAGCUGAAAUUUUAUUGGUAGACGAGAAGACCCUAUAGAUCUUUAUAAAUAAUUGUGUAAUUAUUUUUAUAUUAACACUUUUAUUCAAUUAUUUAUUUUGUUGGGGUGACAAAAACAUAUAAAUAACUUUUUUAUUUACAAAACAUUGAUUUAUGAAUAUUAGAUCCAUUAUUAUUGAUUAUUAGAAUAAGUUACCUUAGGGAUAACAGCG
rnacentral:rRNA from 1 species